rnacentral:sRNA from 1 species
UGCGGGAUAAAUUGUUUCCUAAUUCAUGUAUGGGACUUUUAUUGGAUUUACGGAGUUUGCCUAUACAAAUUUAGGUAAGUUAGAUUGGAAAAACAAGUUCCAUAUACUUUAUCCUUAAUUUUUUUGCUUAUUUCUUCUUUCCUAAUGAACAAAAAGAUUUUGUUAAAAAAAAAAAUGUAAAUCAAGGAGAUCACGUAUUGAGGUGAGAUGAGAAAGAGAGAGUGUGUGGCUUUAAAGAAGGAAUAGGAUGGAGUAAGAAAAGUGAAAAAGGAGAGAAGGAAGGAAAUCAUGGAAGUGAGUGAAGAGUCAGGUGAGAGAGACUGAAGCCUGACUCCUAACCACCAUUUCAAUCUUUUUGGCACUGAAAUUCAUGUCGUUCCUUUUCCUGUAAAGGAAACGACAACCACUUCUGCUCUUAAAUCACCAUUUACUCUUCUCUCUCUCUCCUAUGCGUUUCCAUCAUUACAUUUGUGUAAUAUAUGUAUCCACAGUCCACACACUCUCUUUGACACUGAUUUUGGCUUUUUCAUGAUGGGUGGGCAUCUUUGAAUUUCUUACUCCCAUUUUAUAGCACAUGGUUUCUCAUACUUGUAAAUAUGCCAAGAUUGUACUGCU